AUUGAACGCUGGCGGCAUGCCUUACACAUGCAAGUCGAACGGCAGCGGGGGAGAAGCUUGCUUUUCCUGCCGGCGAGUGGCGAACGGGUGAGUAAUACAUCGGAACGUGCCCUGUAGUGGGGGAUAACUAGCCGAAAGAUUAGCUAAUACCGCAUACGACCUGAGGGUGAAAGGGGGGGACCGCAAGGCCUCAUGCUAUAGGAGCGGCCGAUGUCGGAUUCGCUGGUUGGUGGGGUAAAGGCCUACCAAGGCGACGAUCAGUAGCUGGUCUGAGAGGACGAUCAGCCACACUGGGACUGAGACACGGCCCAGACUCCUACGGGAGGCAGCAGUGGGGAAUUUUGGACAAUGGGCGAAAGCCUGAUCCAGCAAUGCCGCGUGUGUGAAGAAGGCCUUCGGGUUGUAAAGCACUUUUGUCCGGAAAGAAAUGGCUCUGGUUAAUACCUGGGGUCGAUGACGGUACCGGAAGAAUAAGGACCGGCUAACUACGUGCCAGCCGCCGCGGUAA
rnacentral:rRNA from 1 species